rnacentral:tRNA from 1 species
AGAAAAUCUAUUGACUUACCAAUAUCUCCUAAAUGCAACUUAGAUGCUUUAAUUAAGCUAAGACUUC